rnacentral:rRNA from 1 species
AGUCAUAUGCUUGUCUCAAAGAUUAAGCCAUGCAUGUCUUCGUACAAACUAAAUUAAAGUGAAACCGCGAAAGGCUCAUUAAAUCAGUUAUGGUUCCUUAGAUCGUCCCACAGUUACUUGGAUAACUGUGGUAAUUCUAGAGCUAAUACAUGCAAACAGAGCUCCAACCGGAGACGGAAGGAGUGCUUUUAUUAGAUUAAAACCAAUCGGCGGCAGUACAGUUUCGAUUGUGCUGUUCGUCGAACAUAAUGAUGAAUCUGAAUAACUUAUAGCUGAUCGCACGGUCUUGCACCGGCGAUGCAUCUUUCAAAUGUCUGCCUUAUCAACUUACGAUGGUAGGAUCUGCGCCUACCAUGGUUGUAACGGGUAACGGGGAAUCGGGGUUCGAUUCCGGAGAGGGAGCUUGAGAAACGGCUACCACAUCCAAGGAAGGCAGCAGGCGCGCAAAUUACCCACUCCCGGCACGGGGAGGUAGUGACGAAAAAUAACGAUACGGGACUCAUCCGAGGCCCCGUAAUCGGAAUGAGAACAAUUUAAAUCCUUUAUCAAGGACCAAUGGAGGGAAAGUC